rnacentral:misc_RNA from 1 species
GGAACCGGGUCUAAUUGUUGCAGGAGUUCAAUAUCCGAACGCCGAGGUGUUGUUUCCGUCUUCUGAUGUUAUGGGAAUUGAAGCUUCAAGCUUACUGGGCGAGCAUGAGGUGGGAUUCUUCUGUAAAGUUUGUGGAUGCCCAGAAGCGUCCUUGCUGAAGACCGCAUUACCGCCCCUAUCCAUUGCGUCGACAAGAAUUCAAACGCAUUUGAUUCGGUAAUUUGUUUAUUUCAGUUUUGAUUCGGAUUUGAGGCUUUAGGCCUUGAAAUGGAGGAGGGAUUAAAGAAAAAUUAGGGCGAUGCCUCUGGGAAGAGUUGAGUGAUGCCUCGUGAGAGGAGAGGACGGAUGGUUGCUGGGGGCUCGCGGUUGAGCAGGGGUAAAGCUCAGAGAGAGAGAGCUGUGUUGGCAUGGAGGGAAGAAGAGAACGACGAAUUUUAAUCCAUCAAACGGCAUAUCGUUU